GGUACACGGUUUGAAGGUGCUGGAGCCAAAGACAUAAUGACUGUAGUUAAAAACUGAGCAAAAACGACUUGAAUAACGUAAAUGCAUAAUGUUCUCUCAGAUGUGACAAGUAAAAAAAAAAAGAUGGCUGAAAUGUUUUUUUGUGAAAACAGCAAAACUCAACUCAAGUCUGGACACGAUAUCCUGUUCGUUACACAGAAGUGUGAAGAAAACAUUUCACAGUUUAGAAGAGAAUCUGUUCUCAUAUUCUGACAUCUCAUGUUCGCUGCUCCGUAGUAUAGUGAUUACUAUAUUUUGCAUUAAAUGCAAAAAAAGAUCUGUGUGUGUGUGUGUGGUGGUCCCAGGCCUGGACUAUUGGGAGCAUUGUGUCAGGGUUUUCCUCUGUUUCUAGUCCUUAUCCCUGUAACUGCCCAGACAGGUCAUCAGUCUGCAAUUAAUUUCCGCCAAAAAAAGGGCUAAUAACCACAUUCCUCCAAAACUGUGAAACUUUUCCUAUAAGUCUCCAAGAAUAAUGUUAGUCACCAGUGUUGAAUUAGUAAAAAAAGACCUCAGAGAUUGCCUUUACACUCAAAAGAUGUGUGUUUAACACAGAAACACACAGCUGUUUCUAACUAAAUAAGAUUACACAAAAGCUGAUUAAAAAAAAAAAAUCAAUGGGGAAAAAAAAUCCUAAGUACAAAAUUAACAGCAGGCCUGAUAACACAGAAUACGUAAUACGUUUUGACUCCACAGGCUAAACAAAACUAAAAUAACUCAAAUACAGGCUGAAGCUGGCCGAACCAGCUGAACCUGAAGUGCUACCACUCUGUUUGUGCUUCUUUUGGCAACCGAAUUCUCUGCACCAAUCAAUCACAUUAGCAGACAUCUGACACGAUCCUUCCCACUUUGCAGCUGCUAUUCACCCGCAUGGACGGUACUUUUAUUUUCAGUCAGUGAGUCAUAAUGCUGCUGCAAAUCCUCAGCAAUGUUCACCAAAUACUCUUAACAACUAGAAGGGAAAGUGUUAGGAAAUAAUCACCUGAUAAUACUUGCCUGAAACAA
ensembl:lncRNA